UACGGGGGGGGCAAGCGUUGUUCGGAAUUACUGGGCGUAAAGGGCGCGUAGGUGGCCUGUUAAGUUGGAUGUGAAAACUCUGGGCUUAACCCAGAGCCUGCAUUCAAUACUGACGGGCUAGAGUUCUGGAGGGGAAAGCGGAAUUCCUGGUGUAGCGGUGAAAUGCGUAGAGAUCGGGAGGAACACCAGCGGCGAAGGCGGCGACCUGGACAGUAACUGACACUCAACUACGAAAGCGUGGGGAGCAAACAGG
rnacentral:rRNA from 1 species